rnacentral:rRNA from 1 species
AUCCCCCACACUGGUACUGAGAUACGGACCAGACUCCUACGGGAGGCAGCAGUAGGGAAUAUUGGUCAAUGGGCGAGAGCCUGAACCAGCCAUGCCGCGUGUAGGAAGACGGCUUUCUGAGUUGUAAACUACUUUUAUAUGGGAAGAAAAAGGCCAUGCGUGGCAAAUUGCCGGUACCAUAUGAAUAAGCACCGGCUAACUCCGUGCCAGCAGCCGCGGUAAUACGGAGGGUGCAAGCGUUGUCCGGAUUUAUUGGGU